rnacentral:rRNA from 1 species
UGAGGGGAGUGAAAUAGUAUAUGAAACCGCAAGCCUACAAGCAGUGGGAGCACUAUACUCUUGCUUCGGCAAGAGAAUGUGUGACCGCGUACCUUUUGCAUAAUGAGCCGCCGAGUUACUUUAUUUAGCAAGGUUAAGCCGUUAGGUGUAGCCGUAGCGAAAGCGAGUCUGAAUAGGGCGUUUAGUUAAGUGGAGUAGACCCGAAACCGGGUGAUCUACCCAUGGCCAGGGUGAAGCGAAGGUAACACUUCGUGAAGGCCCGAACCCACUGAUGUUGCAAAAUCAGGGGAUGAACUGUGGAUAGGGGUGAAAGGCCAAUCAAACUACGUGAUAGCUGGUUCUCUCCGAAAUGUCUUUAGGGACAGCGUUAUAUGUUGCGCUUUGGAGGUAGAGCACUGAUUGAGCUAGGGGGCCAAAAAGCUUACUGAACUCAGUCAAACUCCGAAUGCCAAAGUGUAUAAAUAUAGCAGUGAGCCUGUGGGGGAUAAGCUCCACAGACGAGAGGGAAACAACCCAGAUCAUCAGCUAAGGCCCCUAAAUGUAUGUUAAGUGUGAAACGAUGUGAGAGUGUUCAGACAGCCAGGAGGUUGGCUUAGAAGCAGCCAUUCCUUUAAAGAGUGCGUAACAGAUCACUGGUCGAAUAUUCUCGCGCGGAAGAUUCAACGGGGCUAAACAUACUACCGAAGCUAUGGGAUUUUAUUAAUUCAGAUUUCUAUAUCCAGGAGGUAAGAUCGGUAGGAGAGCGUUGUAUGGACAGCGAAGUAACAACGUGAGUUAGUUAUGGAGACCAUACAAGUGAGAAUGUUGGCAUGAGUAGCGAAGGAAGAGUGAGAAUCUCUUCCGCCGAAUGUCCAAGGGUUCCUGGGGAAGGUUCG